rnacentral:rRNA from 1 species
GAUGAACGCUGGCGGCGUGCCUAAUACAUGCCAGUCGAGCGAACAGACGAGGAGCUUGCUCCUCUGACGUUAGCGGCGGACGGGUGAGUAACACGUGGAUAACCUACCUAUAAGACUGGGAUAACUUCGGGAAACCGGAGCUAAUACCGGAUAAUAUAUUGAACCGCAUGGUUCAAUAGUGAAAGACGGUUUUGCUGUCACUUAUAGAUGGAUCCGCGCCGCAUUAGCUAGUUGGUAAGGUAACGGCUUACCAAGGCAACGAUGCGUAGCCGACCUGAGAGGGGGAUCGGCCACACUGGAACUGAGACACGGUCCAUACUCCUACGGGAGGCAGCAGUAGGGAAUCUUCCGCAAUGGGCGAAAGCCUGACGGAGCAACGCCGCGUGAGUGAUGAAGGUCUUCGGAUCGUAAAACUCUGUUAUUAGGGAAGAACAAAUGUGUAAGUAACUAUGCACGUCUUGACGGUACCUAAUCAGAAAGCCACGGCUAACUACGUG